rnacentral:lncRNA from 1 species
UUCAACAUUUAAGCACCACUCUCACCAAUGUCUCUCAUUCCCAAUUUUUCCCUUUUCUUUUUCUUUUGCAUUGAGCUCUUCUUCAUUCUUUUCUUCUUUUCAUUUCUUUUUUUGAUGAAUUUUGUCUUUUCACAAUAAUUGAGCUCAAUGCCUUUCAUUUGCUUUUUCAAUUUUCCCCCGUACAACCCCAAACUUGAACCUUUUCAUCACAUACAAGUUACCUCAUCCCAACUCAAGGUAGAGAAUUUCAAAACAAGGGAUUACAUCCUGUUUAAGGCGAAAAGAGCCUAUUAUUAAUUAUCGGCUUGUUAUCCCUAGCCUCCCCUAGCAAUUAAUAAUGCAUUAAGAAAAGAAGCAAAAACAAAUGAUCAUCCUACCCCCUAUCCCUAGGUUGGUAUUGCUUAAUAAAGGAAAUUCUCACCAGUUCAUGACAGUACUGUACGUUCCCGUAUCAAUAGAGACAAACAACAGUUAUCGAAUGAGUUAAACGAUAAAAGCAUUAAGCGCAGAUGAGAACCCAACAAUUGAUAAUCAAAGCAUAUGAAGAAUCAUAUAAAUAAACAAGAGUUUCAAUAAAAGAGAGUUUCAAAAGAUUACAUUGUCAUGGUGAACUUAGAUGAAAAUAAUGGAAGAAUGGAAAAGCAAACCCUAGAUAAGAUGAAAAGGAGCCUAAGCAUCCAAGAGAUCCUCUCCAGAGAGUGAAAAUUAGGUAUGGCC